rnacentral:lncRNA from 1 species
AGAACAGGAACUCUACGAACCGAGAACACUAAGAGCCCGCGGAUUUUAAACAGGAAAAAGAAAGGGCGGAGCCAGCUCUGGCGGAUAGUUGUGAGUAAUCCCUGGUCCUUGGCCUAAGUGUCGACCUGGGGCAGAAGGGGAACUGUCAGAGAGCUGCCGGAAACCGUGAAAAAGACCAGAGACAGGGACUUGUGGGGCUGACGAAUGGAGUCAACCAAGGAGAGGUCUCUGGCUCUAACAAAACACCUUGGGGACGGAACUCCUUGUCCGGGAUACAGAGCAGAAACAAGUCCGGGAUCUCUUAAUGAAUUGCUGCCGGCUUCUAAGGCCUGGAGCUGAUAUUUCAACAACAAACUCCACAGACCUGGAAACUCUUCACUUAUCCCACUAUUGUAGACAGUUGCUUACUUUCAGUCUUUCCUAUGCUCUAAGCUUCUGGUAGUAGGAAUCGUGCCUAACUCACUACUGUAUCUUGUGAACCUAGCCCCGAGUCAGGUGGCACGGCAAAUUCUUGGUAAAUAUUUGUGGAUUAAAUGUGAAAGACUGCCUGAGUGUUUAACCUGGAUUUUCUGAGUCGCUGAUGGAGAACAGUAGAUAGACGGGGAACCAUCGCCCUCUGGUGGACUUGUGGUUAGUGACGAGAACAUCCUGGAACCGUGCAUCCAGGCUAGAGUGCAAUGGCGCGAUCUCGGCUCACGGAAACGUCCGUCUCCCGGGUUCAAGCGAUUCUCCUGCCUCAGCCUCCCGAGUAACUAGGAUCACAGGCAUGUGCCACCACACCCGGCUAAUUUUUGUGUUUUUAGUAGAGACAGGGUUUCACCAUGUUGACCAGGAUGGUCUCCAACUCCUGACCUCAGAUGAUCCUCCCGCCUUGGUCUCCCAAAGUUCUGGGAUUACAGGCGUGAGCCACCGAGUCCGGCCCAAAUUUCUUCUGAUGGUGGGGAAGGAGGAAAACCAGAGACAGUUCACAUCUCUCUGAGAUUGGAGAAAGAGGACUUCUGUGGUUUUACAUCCAAGGAAGAGAAACCGGAGUUGAGACAUAAUGGAAAGAAUUUGCCCCUGUUGACACACAGUACAGGGCACCCCUGGGCCCUGAACUCCUUACCUCCCAGGAGCGGCUGAGUUCUGGGUCACCAUCAUCGCCAAAGGAAGAGAUUCCUAGGACAACCCCACAGGCUCUCCAAAGCCCAGCAACUUCAGAAGUCAGAGUCCUUGGGGUCCCUGAUGGUGUGAUCUUUGUAGAAAAAUCACAGUGUCCAAGAGGAAAGGUUUCAUCCUGGCUUUACUUCUAACUGGCUGUGUGACCUCCUGCAAGUCACUCUGCCUCUCCAGGCCACAGAGUCCUCAAAAGAACGGGACCAGAAGAGCCCCAAGGCUCCAGUCCAAGUUCCUAGCUCCCUGCUGGCAGGCACUGGGGAUGCGGCUGUGCUCUGCUCCACCUGCCCUCAGGAGCUCAUGGUCCCAAAGGGGAAAAGACGCUGAACUGACAUCAUGGAAAUCAAUGUUACAAUUAUAAUACGAGUUAGAAGAAAGAGUGCAGGUGCUGUGAGGAAGUUUAAGCCUCAAGGAGGCUUGCACAGGAAGCAGAUAUUCCAAUAAACACACAGGGGACAAGCCUGUUGCCCACUCAUUCAUUCAACACACAAUUACUGAAUGCACAUCAGAGCCCCUGGUGAGCAAAACUAUGGUGUCUUCCCCCUGGAACCCACAGUCCAGUGAGGGAGACAGACAUCAAUGAUGUAUACAAUCGCCCGAUAAUUGCCGCACAAAUAAAGGCAAAAGCACAAAUACGGUAGGUAUGCUGAAAAGUAUGACGGGGCGCACGGAGCGAGAAUAAGAGAACUGAAUUGAAGGAGGGCGGGGGCCAAGGAAGCCUGUCCGAAAAAGCGAUGGUCAGCCAUCAUUUAAGGUUGGAAGUCCUUAAAUCGAGGCAGCAGGAAAGCUGGAGGAGUCCCUUGGAGAGGGCGAGCCCUUCUUCCCCCAAGUGCCAAGACUCUGCCUUGCCUUCGAGCGCUCCCAGGUCGGCGACGCAGCAGAGAACACUGACACUCGCAACCCCAUUGCUGGACUCACCUGAGAGCCUCAGGUGCGCGGGCGAGUGGUAGGGGGAGCUGAAAGGAAGGCGGAGCGGAGGGACAGCAGCGGCAGGUGGUGCGCCCAGCCCGCGCCGGGUUGGCUCGCGCGGAGCGAGCGCCGCCGCCGCCGCAGUAUCUGGGCUCAUCUCCCUGCCCCGGAGCCGGGCAACUAUUAAUCUUGGUUGACGGUUUCUAAUGUCCUGGUUGGGAGGUGGGGAGUGCGGCCCAGUCCGCCCUAAAGGUAGAAGUGGUUAAUGGGCCUCUUCAUCACCGCCAGGAGCCGGUCCCUGGCGGAGCGCGAGGGGCGCUGCAGCAGGUGAGACGCGGAGCUGGCGGAGACCAUUAAUGAAGCUGCCCGGGCUGGGGCGGACGGAGAGGGAAGCUGGGGGAGGGAGGCGGUUCCAGGGGUGAGAGGUAGGUUCGUCCGCCCCAACAGCCCAGCUUUGGUUGUGUGGAGUAGAGGAGCUCACCUGGGCGCCCUUUACCUGAGGGGGCCUUCUGAAGGCGCAGUGCUGGGUAGGAUGCUGAGUUAGGCCUGCCUAGAUAUGGAUCUUUUCAAAGGUGACACGAGUUGGGCUGGAUGGGGAGGGGGGCGGUCCGAGAACCCAGGUCGUCCUGCAGUAAGCGAGGACCAGACACAAAGUGGGUGCUCUGAAAUGUUUGCUGACCUGCAAGGCCUGUGCCUCACGUGUGCGGGGGAGAGAUGUUAGGGUUAAGUGAGAAUUUCGGGACCUGCCGACCCCAGUGAUCAAUAGCGUCCCGUCGUUUUACAGUCGCUCCCUUUCCUUCUCUGUGACUCAGUUUCCCCUUUGAGGCGGGUUUUCAAGCUCCCCAGCCCUCCAACUCCCAAGCCCGUCCCCUCCUCCAGCAUAAGCUAGCGGGACCUGUCCCUAACCCCGUCCUCUCAAUGCAGUCACCACUACCCUCGCCCCCCAUCCUGGCCCAAACUACUGGGAGAGAAGAGGUGGUCCCACUCAGCCGUGGUGGCGCCACUCCAAGGCCCUCCGCUGGGACCCGCUGCCUCCCGGAGCCCGGGCUUCUCUGCGGGCUUGGCUGUCUCUCGUUGCUGUCAGCUUCUCUCCCGCCCCCUCCCGCCUCCAGCCGCAUCAGAAAUAUAUUGUAUACUCACCUAAUCCUGUUCAGUUACAGCAUAAUAAAACACAUAAUAAAAACCUAAUUCAUUUUUCUCCUGCG